AACUAGCCUACCUGGUUAAAUAAAGGUGUUCUCAACUAGCCUACCUGGAUAAAUAAAGGUGAAAAAAAAAGAAAAUUAUAGUGCAUCUGACCUCUUAACAGACCCCAGACUACUGUCACUAUAGGACUAGGUUAACAGACCCCUGAUCACUGUAGGACUAGGUUAACAGACCCCAGACUAGUAUCAUUAUAGGACUAGGUUAACAGACCCCAGACUAGUAUCAUUAUAGGACUAGGUUAACAGACCCCAGACUACUGUCACUAUAGGACUAGGUUAACAGACCCCUGAUCACUGUAGGACUAGGUUAACAGAUCCCUGACUACUGUCAUUAUAGGACUAGGCCCUCCUUGAUUUCCCUUGGGCCCCUGGGACCAGUGGAGCCUCACUACAGUGUAGUGUAGUCAUACUAUGGCCCAUGCUGAGAGAACAGGACAUUGCUGUCCUCCAGCAGUCGCUACCAGAGUGUAACGGGUUAGACAGGCCGGAAUGGGUUUACACAGCUGGACCUGAACCAUUUCUGUCCGAUCCAUAUGAACACCAUACCUGAGGAACGCCAUACACCAUACCGGAGGAACACCAUACCUGAGGAACGCCAUACACCAUACCGGAGGAACGCCAUGUAAGCUCACACACACUAGGUUACAGAUGGUGUGUAGCUUGUUUAAGGUUUAUGAGCUGUGUAUAUGUGCA
ensembl:lncRNA